CCUCCGGGCGGCAGCAGUAGGGAAUCUUCCACAAUGGGCGAAAGCCUGAUGGAGCAACGCCGCGUGGGUGAAGAAGGUCUUCUGAUCGUAAAACCCUGUUGUUAGAGAAGAAAGUGCGUGAGAGUAACUGUUCACGUUCCGACGGUAUCUAACCAGAAAGCCACGGCUAACUACGUGCCAGCAGCCGCGGUAAUACGUAGGUGGCAAUCUGUAUCCGUAUUUAUUGGGCGUAAAGGGAACGCGGGCGGUCUUGUAAGUCUGAUGUGAAAGCCUUCGGCUUAACCGGAGUAGUGCAUUGGAAACUGGGAGACCUGAGUGCAGAAGAGGAGAGUGGAAUUCGAGGUGUAGCGGUGAAAUGCGUAGAUAUAUGGAAGAACACCAGUGGCGAAGGCGGCUCUCUGGUCUGUAACUGACGCUGAGGUUCGAAAGCGUGGGUAGCAAACAGGAUUAGAUACCCUAGUAGUC
rnacentral:rRNA from 1 species